AAUCUGGCAGCUUGGGCUCGCCAGAAAAAUGUUUCCGGGUAGCAUCUGGCUGCUUGGUUCUACUGCUGAUACAGUUCGCGUUACUUUGGAUACAGAUACUUCUAUACAUCUGAAUUCUAUCUUUGGCAUCAUUUUGUACACCAUUUGGCAAGCCGUAUAGUAGGUCAUAAAACAUUCUAAACACAUUGUUUCCCAAUUUUGUGAGAGGGAUACUGUAAACGGACAGCCUCCUCUACUAUUACUUUUCCUCAACACAAGUAGUUGAUACCAGAGCUAAUUUUCAAAUUUUGGCAGACCUGUUUACUUGUCGACAUGCUCCUUGUAGAGUUGCACCUGCCAGAAGGGCAACCACACGCAAUCGCUGGGGGAACAACAAAAAUAACAUAGCAUUAAUACUGAAAAAAAUCUGUUUGAAUUGCAGUCUCUGAAAUAGAAGGAAACAUCAGACUUCGAUAUCGAUAUUUAAAAGAUGCAGGUUGCUGGUCUGAAAGGAUACACGAUACGAGACUGCUAAUAAAAUGGUAGUUAACAGCCAUUAUGCUUCAUCAAUUAUCUUCAUGCUGAUUGCUGCGAGAUAUCACUAUGCAAAUACGAAUUGUU